CUAGAGUAAGCGCUGCCUGCCCAGCUGCGGAGGUGGCAGGCAGCAGCCUGGCGCCCUCAACUUUCCCUCAGCCCAGCCCCUCAGCCCAGGCCUCCCUGGGCUGCCCAGACUGCCCUCCAACUCCUAGGUCACGAAGUGCCCCGAGAACUGUUGCUGAGGCUACAGAUAGGAUUUCACUAUGUAUGUAGUCCAGACUGCUGUUGAACUCAGUAUGUAACCCAGGGCAGCCUUAAAUCUGGGAAUCUUCCUGCCUCAGCCUCUCAGAUUCUGUGAUUAAAGGGCCAAGCAACCAUGGACUGAAACCUCUGAAGCCAUGAGCAAAUUUCCAGGAGAAAGUGCUGCAAGAAAAUCUCCAUAAACCAGGCAUGGUAGUGCAUGCCCCUAAUCCCAGGACUCAGAAGACUGAGGCAAGAAAAUCACUGUUACCUGUGUGGUUCCCGAGGACAAAAGAGUGAGAUUUUCCUCCUGGUCCCACCGCGGUUGCCACCCAUUCUCAACCCAAACGUUUUGGGCUGUGGCUGUUGUUAAGGGUAUGAGACUGGAAAUGCGGGCCUGUAAUCCCAGCUACUCAGGAAGUUUAGGCAGGAGGAGCACAAAUUCAAACCAGCUGGGCAACUUCGACCCCGUCUCAAAAUAAAAUUUAAAAGAAGCUGGGCAUGAUGGCACACACCAGUAAUCUUGAGCCAGGAAGACCACAAACUCAAACCCAGCCUGGACAGUUUAGUGACUUAGCAAGACCCUGUUUCAAAACAAAACAAAACAAAACAAACAAACAAACAAAAAAACUUUAGAAGGGGUGAGGAUGUAGCUCAGUAGUGCUUGACUAAAAUACAUGAGGCACCAGACAUGGUGGCACAGGCCGGUGAUCUCAGCACUCGAGAGGUUGAGCAGGAUCACCUUGAGUUCAAGGCCAGCCUGCACUACAUAGCAAAACUAUAUCUCAAAAAACAAACAAAUAUAAAAACGCAUGAGGCCCUGGGUUCAACCCCAGUACCAAGAAAGGAAGGAAGGAAUGGCCAUUCUGCCUCAGCCUCCUGAGUGCUGGAAUUACAGAUGUGCACCAUCACAUCUGGCAACACAGGUCCUUUUUAUUCUGUAGCACAUACAGUAGGCACUCCAUGGUAGGACGUUAACCCUCAUUCAUUUCCUUCUUCAGAAGUUAUUGGCUAUAAGUGGACAUUUCUAAGGUUUCCCUGAGCAUGUUUUUAUUCAGAUUGCAAAGAUUUUUGGCCUUUUACAAGGUUUUGCCAUCAUUUGCCCCUACCAGCCUUGUGCACACACCUCGGUGCACUUGUGUGGAUGUUGGAGAUGGAGGUGGAAUGGCUAGGGUAUUCAUUAAGGCUCUCCAGAGAAACAGAAACACUACAUGAUUUAGUAUAAUGAAUUACGUUUAUUUGUUUGGGACAGGCUGUCUCUGUGUAGCCCAGACUGGCACUGAACUCUAGCGAUCUUCCUUUGUCAGCCUCCUGAGUACUAAGAUUACAGGUGUAUGCUAUUACACCUGGCCUUAUAAGGAAUUAUGAAAGCUGAGAAGGCUCACAGUCUGCUACCUGAAAUAUAGAGACCUGGGAGAGCUGGUGGUGUAGUCCUGAGAAGCAGAGGGUGAGGAUAUAAGUCCUGGUGGAGGACCGAAGAUGCAUCCCAAUGCAAGCUGUUGGGCAGGCAGAGUGAACCCCUUUAUCUGUGCCCUUCCAUUCUGUGCAGACCCUUGAUGGGUACGUAAUGUGCAGUCACAUAGGGAAAGUAAUCAGCAUCCCUCUAAGCCCACCAGUUCAAGUGCCAAGCUCAUCUAGAGAAAGUCUUAAACACUUCCAGAAAUGAUGUUAGUCAGGGCACUAUGCAUCCCACUCAAGCUAAUGAGUAACAUUAACAUCACGUCCACCCUUUGUCAACUGCACAGUCAUAUGUAUCUCAUUAAACCAUAUUUAAUCUCCAAAUUAAGAUGAUAAAAACCCCAUUAUUCUGCUUAUUGUUAACCCAUUAAUGUAAGUGUAUAUGUAAUGUAAUGUGUUGUGAAUGUAAAUGUGAUGUAAUGUAUUGUGAAUGUAAAUGUAAAAAUCCAUUCUGCUUAUUGUAAACCCAUUAUUGUGAAUGUAAAAUUCACAGUACUUAAAUACUGAUAUAAAGUCAACAUACUUUAUGUUACACAAUAAAGACAGAAAAAA